rnacentral:tRNA from 1 species
GCGCCCAUAGCUCAGUUGGAGAGAGCAGUGGAUUUCUAAUCCACCGGUCGGGGGUUCGAAUCCCUCUGGGCGUA